rnacentral:rRNA from 1 species
CUACGGGUUGCUGCAGUGAGGAAUAUUGCACAAUGGGGGGAACCCUGAUGCAGCAACGCCGCGUGGAGGAUGACGCAUUUCGGUGUGUAAACUCCUUUUAUAUGUCAAGAAAAUGACGGUAGCAUAUGAAUAAGCACCGGCUAACUCCGUGCCAGCAGCCGCGGUAAUAGCGGAGGGUGCAAGCGUUACUCGGAAUCACUGGGCGUAAAGGACGCGUAGGCGGGUUGGAAAGUCAGGUGUGAAAUCCUACAGCUUAACUGUAGAACUGCACUUGAAACUUCUAAUCUAGAGUAUGGGAGGGGGAGAUGGAAUUAGUGGUGUAGGGGUAAAAUCCGUAGAUAUCACUAGGAAUACCUAAAGCGAAGGCGAUCUCCUGGAACAUUACUGACGCUAAGGCGUGAAAGCGUGGGGAGCAAACAGGAUUAGAUACCCGCGUAGUC